GGUCCCGUAGUGUAGUGGUUAACACGCCUGCCUGUCACGCAGGAGAUCGCGGGUUCGAGUCCCGUCGGGACCGCCA
rnacentral:tRNA from 19 species